rnacentral:rRNA from 1 species
UACGGGGGGAGCAAGCGUUGUUCGGAUUUACUGGGCGGAAAGGGCGCGUAGGCGGCCAGCACAGGUCAGUUGUGAAAUCUCCGAGCUUAACUCGGAAAGGUCAACUGAUACUGUGCGGCUAGAGUGCGGAAGGGGCAACUGGAAUUCUUGGUGUAGCGGUGAAAUGCGUAGAUAUCAAGAGGAACACCUGCGGCGAAGGCGGGUUGCUGGGCCGACACUGACGCUGAGGCGCGAAAGCCAGGGGAGCGAACGGG